rnacentral:rRNA from 1 species
GACGAACGCUGGCGGCGUGCCUAAUACAUGCAAGUUGAGCGCUGAAGGUUGGUACUUGUACCGACUGGAUGAGCAGCGAACGGGUGAGUAACGCGUGGGGAAUCUGCCUUUGAGCGGGGGACAACAUUUGGAAACGAAUGCUAAUACCGCAUAAAAACUUUAAACACAAGUUUUAAGUUUGAAAGAUGCAAUUGCAUCACUCAAAGAUGAUCCCGCGUUGUAUUAGCUAGUUGGUGAGGUAAAGGCUCACCAAGGCGAUGAUACAUAGCCGACCUGAGAGGGUGAUCGGCCACAUUGGGACGGAGACACGGCCCAAACUCCUACGGGAGGCAGCAGUAGGGAAUCUUCGGCAAUGGACGAAAGUCUGACCGAACAACGCCGCGUGAGUGAAGAAGGUUUUCGGAUCGUAAAACUCUGUUGGUAGAGAAGAACGUUGGUGAGAGUGGAAAGCUCAUCAAGUGACGGUAACUACCCAGAAAGGGACGGCUAACUACGUG